GAUGAACGCUGGCGGCGUGCUUAACACAUGCAAGUCGAACGGGAAACCUUUUAAUGAAGCUUCGGCAGAUUUAGCUGGUUUCUAGUGGCGGACGGGUGAGUAACGCGUGGGUAACCUGCCUUAUACAGGGGGAUAACAGUCAGAAAUGACUGCUAAUACCGCAUAAGCGCACAGGACCGCAUGGUCCGGUGUGAAAAACUCCGGUGGUAUAAGAUGGACCCGCGUUGGAUUAGCUUGUUGGUGGGGUAACGGCUCACCAAGGCGACGAUCCAUAGCCGGCCUGAGAGGGUGAACGGCCACAUUGGGACUGAGACACGGCCCAGACUCCUACGGGAGGCAGCAGUGGGAAUAUUGCACAAUGGGGGAAACCCUGAUGCAGCGACGCCGCGUGAAGGAAGAAGUAUCUCGGUAUGUAAACUUCUAUCAGCAGGGAAGAUAGUGACGGUACCUGACUAAGAAGCCCCGGCUAACUACGUG
rnacentral:rRNA from 1 species